AAAACCAGGAUCCCUGGUGAUGAAUGAAGCUAUGACCCCUGAUGGAACCAGGUUUUGAUGAACUGAUGGUUUUGAAGAUUAAGACCAAAGCUUUUGUCCUUCUUUCUGUAUGCAAUUUCACGUAUCAGUGAAAUAGAUCCUGGAGAUUGCUGAUGAAAAGAACUGUCAUACAUGGCUACACUUCUCUCCUGUUCCUGCUUCUGCUGGCAACAAAUGUUUCCUUAGAAGCCAUUUUGCCAUUGGGUGAUGCACCCUGCAAAUGAUUUCUGUAUGAAGAAAUUCUGCAAAACUAUUGAAGACCCUGCAGAAAAAAUGCCUACAUUAUAUUCAUCUAUUUGUGAAACACUGCCUCUCCACAUUCAAGAGUAUCUGUGCACCUCCCAGUUUAAUAAAGGAACAAGAAGCCAAACACACUCCAUCUUGCCUGCAGACAUAGCUUGAAAGAGUUGCACAAGAAGAGAGAGAGUAUGAAGUUUGGCUGGGAAUGCCACUUUAAAGGCUUUUGUGACAGAUCUAGUGGUCUUGGUAGAGCCAAGAUUCCUUUGAUCUGACCUGGAGGGGGGAAGAACAAGAGAUAAAUAAAUCAUACAUAGAGACAUGAAAUGUGAGUA